GUAGGUGGCAAGCGUUGUCCGGAAUUAUUGGGCGUAAAGCGCGCGCAGGUGGUUCGUUUAAGUCUGAUGUGAAAGACCCCCGGGCUCAACCGGGGAGGGUCAUUGGAAACUGGGGAACUUGAGUGCAGGAGAGGAAAGUGGAAUUACACGUGUAGCGGUGAAAUGCGUAGAUAUGUGGAGGAACACCAGUGGCGAAGGCGACUUUCUGGCCUGUAACUGACACUGAGGCGCGAAAGCGUGGGGAGCAAACAGGAUUAGAUACCCUGGUAGUCCACGCCGUAAACGAUGAGUGCUAAGUGUUGGGGGGUUUCCGCCCCUCAGUGCUGCAGCUAACGCAUUAAGCACUCCGCCUGGGGAGUACGGUCGCAAAGACUG
rnacentral:rRNA from 1 species